rnacentral:rRNA from 1 species
UACGGAAGGUCCGGGCGUUAUCCGGAUUUAUUGGGUUUAAAGGGAGCGCAGGCGGCCUGUGCAAGCGUGACGUGAAAUGCGGGUGCUCACCAUCCGCACUGCGUCGCGGACUGCCGGGCUUGAGUUCACGGAAGGCGCGCGGAAUUCGUGGUGUAGCGGUGAAAUGCUUAGAUAUCACGAAGAACCCCGAUUGCGAAGGCAGCGCGCCGCAGUGUUACUGACGCUGAGGCUCGAAGGUGCGGGUA